rnacentral:rRNA from 1 species
AAUAGAUACCCGGGUAGUCCACGCCGUAAACGAUGAGUGCUAAGUGUUAGAGGGUUUCCGCCCUUUAGUGCUGCAGCUAACGCAUUAAGCACUCCGCCUGGGGAGUACGGCCGCAAGGCUGAAACUCAAAGGAAUUGACGGGGGCCCGCACAAGCGGUGGAGCAUGUGGUUUAAUUCGAAGCAACGCGAAGAACCUUACCAGGUCUUGACAUCCUCUGCCAACCCUAGAGAUAGGGCGUUCCCCUUCGGGGGACAGAGUGACAGGUGGUGCAUGGUUGUCGUCAGCUCGUGUCGUGAGAUGUUGGGUUAAGUCCCGCAACGAGCGCAACCCUUGAUCUUAGUUGCCAGCAUUCAGUUGGGCACUCUAAGGUGACUGCCGGUGACAAACCGGAGGAAGGUGGGGAUGGACGUCAAAUCAUCAUGCCCCUUAUGACCUGGGCUACACACGUGCUACAAUGGAUGGUACAAAGAGCUGCGAACCCGCGAGGGUAAGCCAAUCUCAUAAAGCCAUUCUCAGUUCGGA